rnacentral:rRNA from 1 species
AUACGAAGGGGGCUAGCGUUGUUCGGAAUUACUGGGCGUAAAGCGCACGUAGGCGGACAUUUAAGUCAGGGGUGAAAUCCCGGGGCUCAACCUCGGAACUGCCUUUGAUACUGGGUGUCUUGAGUAUGGAAGAGGUAAGUGGAAUUGCGAGUGUAGAGGCGAAAUUCGUAGAUAUUCGCAGGAACACCAGUGGCGAAGGCGGCUUACUGGUCCAUUACUGACGCUGAGGUGCGAAAGCGUGGGGAGC